rnacentral:tRNA from 1 species
GGGUGAUUAGCUCAGCUGGGAGAGCACCUCCCUUACAAGGAGGGGUCAUCACCCACCA